GGGGAUAUAGCUCAGUGACAUAGCACCUUCCUGGCAAGCUUGAGGUCCUGAGUUCAAUUCCCAGUAACCCCC
rnacentral:tRNA from 1 species